AUUUCGUCCUCUGUUGUAUACUGAAGCCCUGAUUCACAGCCUUGCCCUUGAUUCUAAUACCACACCUGUUAAUCUAAUAUCUGCUGAUCAUGCCAGUUUAACCCCCAGCUCAUUCCUGCUCAACCCUUGCAAAUUUACUGCUGCUGGAAACCCUGUCAACAUUAUAAUGUAUCUUGAGAAACACCAUCAAAGGCAAGCACAGCAUCUGCAAAGUGCUGCAGUCAGGGUUCUAUUUGUUCAUCUCUGCUGCUCCAAGUGACCAAACAAGCUACUAAUACCACUGAGCAAAGCUUCUCAAGACUGGACAAAGACCAAAUUGUUUAUCAAUCCAGACUGACCAAGUGAACCUUCGCAGUAUGCACAGUAAGAUUAUAUGAUUAGACAGGACUUGCCAUGGUGCUUAAGGCUGUCAAGUGAGUGAAUCAAUAAAUAAAUGGACAUUCUAAACUUUAAAAAGGGGUGAUAUUUUAAGCUUCUAGUACCCUGAGUACUACUUAAUUUUGUGCCUAAACUUGAAAAAAAUGUAGGUUGUGGCUAAAAUGGA